GAAGUACUCCCUCCGUUCGGAAUUACUUGUCGUAGAAAUGGAUGUAUCUAGACAUUUUUUAGUUCUAGAUACAUUCAUUUCUGCAACAAGUAAUUCGGAACGAAGGGAGUAUGUG
rnacentral:pre_miRNA from 1 species